rnacentral:rRNA from 1 species
GAUGAACGCUGGCGGCGUGCCUAAUACAUGCCAGUCGAGCGAACGGACGAGAAGCUUGCUUUUCUGAUGUUAGCGGCGGACGGGUGAGUAACACGUGGAUAACCUACCUAUAAGACUGGGAUAUCUUCGGGAAACCGGAGCUAAUACCGGAUAAUAUUUUGAACCGCAUGGUUCAAAAGUGAAAGACGGUCUUGCUGUCACUUAUAGAUGGAUCCGCGCUGCAUUAGCUAGUUGGUAAGGUAACGGCUUACCAAGGCAACGAUGCAUAGCCGACCUGAGAGGGUGAUCGGCCACACUGGAACUGAGACACGGUCCAGACUCCUACGGGAGGCAGCAGUAGGGAAUCUUCCGCAAUGGGCGAAAGCCUGACGGAGCAACGCCGCGUGAGUGAUGAAGGUCUUCGGAUCGUAAAACUCUGUUAUUAGGGAAGAACAUAUGUGUAAGUAACUGUGCACAUCUUGACGGUACCUAAUCAGAAAGCCACGGCUAACUACGUG